rnacentral:rRNA from 1 species
CUACGGGUUGCUGCAGUGAGGAAUUUUGCGCAAUGGGGGUAACCCUGACGCAGCAACGCCGCGUGAGUGAUGAAGGCUUUCGGGUCGUAAAGCUCUGUCAAGUGGGAAGAAUAUACGAAAUGCUAAUACCAUUUUGUACUGACGGUACCACUGAAGGAAGCACCGGCUAACUCCGUGCCAGCAGCCGCGGUAAUACGGGGGGUGCAAGCGUUAUUCGGAAUUAUUGGGCGUAAAGAGCACGUAGGCGGCCGCUUAAGUCGGAUGUGAAAGCCCGGGGCUCAACCCCGGAAGUGUAUUUGAAACUAAGUGGCUUGAGUAUGGGAGAGGGAAGGGGAAUUCCUGGUGUAGAGGUGAAAUUCGUAGAUAUCAGGAGGAACACCGGUGGCGAAGGCGACUUCCUGGACCAAUACUGACGCUGAGGUGCGAAGGCGUGGGGAGCAAACAGGAUUAGAUACCCGCGUAGUC